UACAGAGGUCUCAAGCGUUGUUCGGAUUCAUUGGGCGUAAAGGGUGCGUAGGUGGCGAGGUUAGUCAGGUGUGAAAUCUCAGAGCUCAACUCUGAAACUGCACUCGAUACUGCUCUGCUUGAGGACUGGAGAGGAGACUGGAAUUCACGGUGUAGCAGUGAAAUGCGUAGAUAUCGUGAGGAAGACCAGUGGCGAAGGCGGGUCUCUGGACAGUUCCUGACGCUGAGGCGCGAAGGCCAGGGGAGCAAACGGG
rnacentral:rRNA from 1 species